rnacentral:lncRNA from 1 species
CUUCCUACGUUCACAUGAAAAUAAAAGCGAUCAUAUGCUGUUGCUGGCUUCGUUAUUCAACCUGGGGUGUGUUUCUUCACAGCACUCCUGCACCUCCUCAAGCACAUCCAAAGAGAAAGCUGUGUUUCCAAAAGCUGGACCAGGAGCUCAGCUGGAAGCAGCAGCACUCUGGCAAGCCCAGCACAGACAGAACUUUUCUUCCCCCGAUGGGAAGGAGUGCUAAUUGCUCAGCCGUGCCACGCACACACGGCCACCAUGUUGCUAUGAGCUCAAAGAUGGGUAACGUCAGCAUCCCAGGGACCCUCCUCCAGCCGGGAUCAGCAAGCCAAGGCUGAGCUACACGGAGCAGCGGUGCCGGAGGAGCAGCAGAGCUGCACGCCAGGUAAGGGGCACCUCUGUCCCCGUGCUGUUCCUGCUCACAGUAUGGCUGCAUGACAAACUGCAAGCAGAGCAAGGCACUUCUCAUAGCACAGCCUGGGGACCAGUUGCCAACUCUUUGAUCUGCACAGGGGGUCGGAUUUUUUGUUCCCUUCCCUGCAGAGGAAUUUUUGGGAGCGUGGGUCAGGCGGUAGCAGUGGAUGUGGCAGCCAGAAAGCUGUAAGCAGAAGGGGAGAUUCUUUCCUUGACUUUAAAGUGGAUCUGCUUUCAUGGUGCUCCCCCCUUUUUUGGCUGGAUAAUCCUUAACUUGGGAUUCGUGGGUUUGUCUGUCUGUGCCAACUUUUGCGUGCUGCCACAAGUGGAUGCUCUUCAUAGUGAGUAAGAUCAUAACCUACCUCGGUUAAGAAAUAAAGUUACUUUAAAUGUGGGUUAAGCCCCUUUAAGUUAGUUUUGGAAAUAUUCCUUUGACUUUAUUUUUCCCCCUUCUUUCUUCUGCAAGGGCACCCUAGGAGAGGAGAAUAGCUGUGUCAUAAAUGUUAUUGUACGUGCAAUCUCAGCUGCUGAAAUGAGCUUGAAGUCCCCGGUCUAAAGAAAGGCACUAAUUAAACACAGCAAUGCUCCUGCUCUGAUAUGGAAAAGCAAGCACUGUGCAAGUGAGACAGCCGUCCCUCACAUCCCCCAAGGGAGCAGGAAAGCUGCCCAGACACAAAGCUUCCUCUGCCCUCCGUGUUGCUGCCAGCCCCAAGGACUCUCACUGCACACAGCUGAACUGGAGCCACCGGACCUCUCCAGUAGAGAAAAGCAGCGGCUCACCGGGAUGCUCUGAGAGCUGUUCCACUUGCACAGGGGGAUAUAAUUCUCAUUUGCUUUGUUCAUGAAGCCUUGGACGUCAGAGG